rnacentral:piRNA from 1 species
UGCCAGAGAUGUCAUAACAGUGACUUGA